GCGGCCCAUAUGACGCGAGCACACGCCACCGCGGGCCCGCGCCGGGCACGCGCUGUCAGGAGGAAGCGCGCGGCCCGGACUCCCGGCGGGUGGAAGGCGGGCAGCGGAUGUUAAGUGGUGGGGCCGCGGCGCUGUGGUGUAGUGGGUAAAGCCGCCACCUGCAGUGCCAGCAUCCCCUAUGGGCACUGGUUCAAGUCCCGGCUGUUCCACUUCUGAUGCAGCUCUCUGCUGAUGGACUGAGACAGCAGUGGAGGAUCGCCCAGGUCCUGCACUCAUGUGAGAGACCUGGAGGAAGCUCCAGGCUCCUGGCUUUGGAUCGGCCCAGCUCCGGCCACUGCAGCCAUUUGGAGAGUGAACCAGUGGAUGGAAGACCCCCCUCUCUCCCUCAGCCUCUCUGUAACUCUACCUUUCAAAUAAAUAAAUAAAUCUUUUAAAAAAAAAGAUGUUAAGUGGUUGUCUCAUUUUCAAAGCAGAAUAGUAUUCCUGUAUAUUGGAGAGUGUGUUAGUUUUUUUUUUUUUUUAAAGAUUUUUUUUUUUUUUUUUUUUGCAAGGCAGAGAGGGAGAGAGAGAUAGAGAACCAUCUGCUUGUUCACUCCCCAAAUGUCCUCAAUGGCUAGAUCUGGGAUCUGAAGCCAGGAGCUUCUUCCAGGUCUCCCACAUGGGUGGCAGGGGCCCAGGGACUUAGGCCAUCUUCCACUGCUUUCCCAGGUACAUCAGCAGGGAGCUGGAACAGAAGUGGAGCAGCUGGGACUCAAACUAGUACCCAUAUGGGAUGCAGGUGGUGGCUUUAUCCACUAUGCCACACCUAGCUCAAUUAAUGGCAAGUGUGAGAGAAAGAGGUGAAUUAGACAACAAAGGAAAAAAAGAUAAGGUGGUGCCUUACUGAGCUGGCCUGCAGUUAUGUAGGGAAAUAUAUCUAGUUGAUUAGUCAUAUAGGAUCUCACCUGUACAGGCUUAGAGACCCAUCAUGCCUAGCAAGAAUAUCCCUUUGGCAGAGAAAGAAAAAACUUGUCUGCUAACUCUCUGUCUUCUGGUUUAAUUGAUCGAAGUUUACCCCAUGGUCAUUAAUUUCUUCAUUCUUCCUAAGUGUGGUACUCAGUGCCUUGCUGUAGCUGUUGGGGCAGCCAGAUGCCAUAGGCAGUGGUGUAUCAUCAAAUGUGAAGGAGUAAGAGGACAGGGCUGCUUCUGCAGGUCUAGCUGGGGCAGCCUGUCUUUUUUUUUUUUUUUUUUAAGAUUAUAUUUAUCUAUUUGAAAGGCAGAGUUACAGAGAGACAGAGGCAGAGGCAGAGAGAGAGGUCUUCCUUUUGCCAUUGGUUCACCCUCCAAUGGCCGCUGCGGCCGGCGCACCGCGCUGAUCCGAUGGCAGGAGCCAGCCAGGUGCUUCUCCUGGUCUCCCAUGAGGUGCAGGGCCCAAGCACUUGGGCCAUCCUCCACUGCACUCCCUGGCCACAGCAGAGGGCUGGCCUGGAAGAGGGGCAACCGGGACAGAAUCCGGCGCCCCGACCGGGACUAGAACCGGUGUGCUGGCGCCACAAGGUGGAGGAUUAGCCUAGUGAGCCGCGGCGCCGGCCGGUAAAGCUAUUUAGACCACAAGGGAGCAGUCAGAGUGCUGUGAGGUCAGAACACAGGGGAAAGGAUGUCACAGGUGUAGAAAACUCUAGAAGGGGUUUGGCCAUGAAAAGGAGGAGAAAACAGAAGCUGGGGAAAAUAUGACAUGGGUGGAGUUUUGUUUUAAAAAUGGGAGAGACAUGAACAAGUUUAAAUGCUGAUGGAAGAUUCUGUUAGAAAUAGGUUGAGGAACAGGGAGCAAGUGCAAGUAGUUGGGAGAGUGAAAUCCCUGAGUUGUUUGGAGGGUGGGAGGUGUCUGGAACCAGAACUUGGGCAAUGAUUCACUGUGGUCACCAGGUGGGCACCACUUCUUUUAGAGAGCCAAAGGGGACAUAGUGAUGGUGGGUGUGGUGGGGGGGACCUCCUGGCACCCUUAAGUGGUUUCAGUUAUUUUUGAACUCUUCAGGUAAGACGCGGAGUAGAAACUUGUAGUAGUAUACCUCUCCAAGUUCAAGGCCUCAUGGAGGUUUGUAAUCACGAUUUCACAAGGGCCUGGUCUGCAAGUGUGUGACUGAUCUUUUGUGCUACUCUCCAGGCUGGUAGAAAAGGCAGCUUGUCUAAGGGCAUCCGAAAUCAGAUUAUUCCAGGUGGAACAGAGGGAGGACAGUGGGCACUGGAGUGCAGGACAAGGACAGGCGGAUGUGGAAUCCCAGCAGAGCAAGAUGGAGGUAGCAGCAGGAGGGUGCCGACAGGAGGAGGGUUUCCCAGUUAGGAAGGAGUGGUGUAUGGAGUUACACCAUGUAGGUGCUGGGUAUUGGCUCCACAAGGACAAGAUUCCUUGUUUUGUUCACUCUCAAAGUACGGAAUUAUAAUAACUUAGUUUAAAGAUUCCCAACUGGUCUUAUUUUGUAGAAUAUUUUAAAUAUCUUUUUUUUUCCAGAAUUGGACAACACUUUAGUCCAUAUAUUAGAGUAAGUAUUUCAAUGGGUUGAGUGAAAGAGCUUGGUUUAGAGGCAGAGAAAUGCUGAAAAAGGCAGAAACAAAGAACAAAAACGUUGGUCUUUUCCAAGUUACUUUCCUUAAGAUUGGUCUUUUCAAAGUUACUUUUCUUGUAAGGUGGGGACAGGGAGACAGAUCAGUAGCAAAAAUCACUGUUUAAUACCAUGUUAUUUCAGGUAUUUCUUGUGAGGGCGAGAGAAAUUCAUUAUCAUGCCAACUGAGACUGACCUGUUUAGGAAAGUUGACUGUGUUCUUUCUCUCUCUCGAUUUACAAGAAGUUAAGAUAACAACUUAGUCUCAGCCUGGUAACAAGGAACUUCAGCAUGAGCGACCCUGUUUCGAUUUUUAGUUUGGUCUGUGGGGGCCUAGUGCAGGAGCCUAGUCCCAAACCACAACUCCUGUAAUUUUUAUUUGCCACCUUGAUAUAACCAGCACCUGCAAACUUGUUAGUGAAUUAGCAGUGUAGAGAAGAGGGCCUGGUCUGACCAGAACUGGUAUGAAUGCAUGGUUUCAGAGGAGAAUGCCGCAGAUGAUGACAAAGUCCAGAGUGUAGCCCUAGGAUUGGUUGGCUGAAGUGGUGUGGAACCAGUCACCAGGGCCAAGGAGGUCAGGGAAGUGAGAACCUGGGUUUUUGAAUGAGUCAUGCUUGCGUAGGAGAAAGUUGCUUAGGGUGAUGGCAGGUUUGGAACAUGAAGGUGGACUCUGUGCCAGGUGUCUGAGUCCCCAGGGAAUGAAGACAGUACCUACAGAAGAAGCAGUAGCAAAGAGAGUGUACUGUGUAAUGCAACCCUCCCCCCGCCCCCCAAGUUCAUGUCCUUCCUGAAAACCCAGAAUGGGACUUUAUUUGGAAAUAGGGUUUUUGCAGAUGUAAUUAAUUAAGAUGAGCUUAUACUGGAGUAGAAUGGACGCUUCAUCUGAUAUGAUGGGAGGGAAAAGCAGCGCCGAGACAGAUAAAGGCACCGAGGAAAUUGUCUGAAGACGUAGCAGAGACUGGAGUGAUGGAUCUCCAAACCCGGGAACAGCAGCUGGAGGUAGCAAGAAGAGACCCUCCUGUAGCCUAGAUCCUUUAGGGGAGGUGGGCCUAACAACACCUUGGUUUUGGAACUCUGGCCUCCAGAACCAGGAGAGAAUAACUUCCGGUUGGUAGUGGGUGGAUUUGAAAAAAGGCAGGAAGUAGGGUCAGAAAGAAGGUAGGGUACAGAACAGGAGGGCUGCUCCAUGUGUGAACUUGUGUCCCACAGCCUCAUUUUCCAGGGCUGUCGUCCAAAUGGCAGGGCCCAGUGCUAUUCCUAUCAGCUGGUCUUCACCACACCUGGAAGAGGAGUGCUCUCUAUGCCUAGUCAGGGAAGAAAUAAUUUGCUCAAAGCUGUUACGCACGGUGAGCGGCCAAGCAGGAAGUCAACCGAGUCAAAGGCUGCUGAAUUGCCUGCCUUCGUUGCUUCCACGUGACCAAACCAGUGCACUGGGCACUGGCCGAGAAGUGCAGAGGGGCUCAAGCAGGAGCUAACGGGAGAAGGACAGGACAUGAGCCUCCCACAGCUGCCGUAACAAACCAGCGCAAACGUAGUGCCUCAAAACAGCAUGGGCUUCUUACCUUAGAGCCUGCAGGUCGGAAGUCGGAGACGGGCUCCGCUGCGCUUUUGCCAGGGCUGUGUUCCCUCUGGAGACGCCGGAGGAGAUUCUGCCCGUUUCCAGAGGCUGCGGCAUUUCUCAGAUGGUAUCGCCCUGACCUCUGCUGUCAUCCCGCUUCCUUCUCUGACUGCACCUCCUGCCUCCCUUUCACUUCUGAAGAUCCCGAGGUUACACGAGGCCCACCUGAAUCAUCCAAGUGCUGUGUUCCGAAUGUUUAUGUACCCCUAGGGAGAUGGUGUUAGGAGGUGGGGCCUUUGGGAGGUGUUUAGGUCAUGGGCACAUGAGCGGGAUUUAUAAAAAGGAAACCAUAGGCCGGCGCCGCGGCUCACUAGGCUAAUCCUCCGCCUAGCGGCGCCGGCACACCGGGUUCUAGUCCCGGUUGGGGCUCCGGAUUCUGUCCGGGUUGCCCCUCUUCCAGGCCAGCUCUCUGCUGUGGCCAGGGAGUGCAGUGGAGGAUGGCCCAAAUGCUUGGGCCCUGCACCCCAUGGGAGACCAGGAGAAGCACCUGGCUCCUGCCAUCGGAUCAGCGCGGUGCGCCGGCCGCAGCGCACCGGCCGCGGCGGCCAUUGGAGGGUGAACCAACGGCAAAAGGAAGACCUUUCUCUCUGUCUCUCUCUCUCACUGUCCACUCUGCCUGUCAAAAAAAAAAAAAAAAAAAAAAAAAAAAAAAAAAAAAAAAAGGAAACCAUAGAGCGGUCCCUCCAUCAUAUAAGUAUGUGGCGAGAAGACAUGCAAACAUGCCAGUGCCUUGUUCUCAGACUCCCAGUCCCCAGAGCUCUGGGAAAUGUCUGUUGUUCAUGAGCCGUCCCAUUUAUAGUAUUUUGUGACAACAGCCCAAAUGGACUAAGACCACGACAAUCUCCCGUCUACAAGUCUCUGACUUACAGUAUCUGCAAGUCCUUUCCUCAGUGCGGUGACCUCUUCACAGGCUCCAGGGAUGACCAUGUGGACACUGGGUGACUGAGGUCGAUUCUACUGCCCACCACUGUCAUGAAGGCGAUUAUGAUGCGCUGUGGUUCAUUUUGUCAUAGGGUUCACACAGCAUGCGUUAGAAACACAGAAGAGCGGUAGCUAGGAGACGCUCCUCACAGAUCCGACACCUGAGCUGUGGCUUGAAGUAUGAAUUGGUCCUGUGGAGAGGUGCAGAAGCCAUCCCGGGCCGAAGGAAGAGUGUGGACAGAGGCGUGAGGUGCUCAGAGGAAUUCUGACCCUGGCAAGAGAGAGACACAGAAAGACAGAGCUUCCACCUGCUGGUUCAUUCCUCAAAUGCCCAAACGACCAGGGCUGGAUCAGCUGAAGCUGAAAGCCAGGACACUCACCAGAACUACAGAACCCACGUUGGCACCACUGGUCCUCCCAUGGAAGGAAUGCCCAUCACAUGGAGUCUCUGUGCCUCCCAAGCCAUCUCUGCCGGGCCAGCUGCUCCAGCGUUCCUUGGCAGAUUUCAGGAGGGCUGGUCAGGUGUGUUCUGGAACAUCCCUUAGCCGGGUGUGUGUGAUGUUUCUUUCAUGAUUAGACUGGGGUGACGGGUUGUGGGAGAAAUGCCACAGAGGUCAAGUGCCCUUCUCACCCCAUCAAGUGACCCGAUACCCGUGUGACCCGUUCCUGCAGAAGCAACCAGCAUGGGAAAAUGUCAAGUAUUUUCCAUCUGAAUAAACUCUAGCUUUAUUACUUCCUGUGGAUGUGGCAUAUUUUCUUCUUAAUUCUACUUCCUCCCAUGCUUUUCAAGGAGGGCAUGUUUUUUUUAAAAGAUUUUAUUUAUGUAUUUGAGAGGUAGAGUUAGAAAGAGAGAGAGAGAGAGAGGCCUUCCAUGAGAGAGAGAAAGAGAGAGAAAGGUCUUCCAUCCUCUGGUUCACUCCCCAGACAGCUGCAAUGGCUGGAGCUGGGCCAAUCUGAAGCCAGGAGCCAGGAGCUUCUUCUGGGUCUCCCACGUGGAUGCACAGGCCCAAGGACUUGGGCCAUCUUCCACUGCUUUCCCAGGCCAUAGCAGAGUUGGAUCGGAAGUGGAGCAGCUGGGACUAGAGCUCACACCCGUUUGGGAUGCCGGCGCAACAGGCAGAGGCUUAGCCGACUGUGCCACAGCACCAGCCCCAAGAAGGGCACAUUUUCAAGCUUGGCAAAAGUUUAAAGACAAAAGAGGAAGUGCCUAUUUACACCAAAGUGUUUACACGUUUUUUACCUGGCUAAAUAGAGUUGAAAAAAAAAUCCACAAGUAUAUUCAAGAAAAGUUUAAAUAAACCCACAUAUUAACCUUAGGCUAAGUAAUGCCAUCAUAUUCUUACACAAAAUGCCCUCUGAGAAUCCUGCCGCAGACAGAAGCUUAGGUAGAUUAUGGUUUCCACCUGGCCUGAUGUUUAUUUUGUCCGUCUGCAUUCUGAGAAUCAAUACACUCAUAUUUAGUUACAGGAUAAGGAUUGUCAUAUUAAUUAUGGAAAAGAUAAAUACAAGGCUGGUGUUGAGCUGCUCACGGCGAUGCCGGCAUUCCAUAUCAGAGCACCAGUUCAAGUCCCAGCUGCUCCACUUCUCAUCCAGCUCCCUGCUAAUGUGCCUGGCAAAGCAGUGGGAGAUGGCCCAAGUGCCUGGGUCCCUACCACUCCACGUGAGAAACCUGGAUGGAGUUCUUGGCUCCUGACUUUGACCUGGCCCAGCCCUAGCCGUUUCAGAAGUCUGGAGAGUGAACCAGAGGAUGGAAGAUCUUUCUCUGUCUCUCCAUCUCUCUGUCUCUCUACCUAUCAAAUAACUAAAUCUUAAAAUAAACGAUAAAUAACAAUUACUUAAAAGAUUUUAACUUUACUUCUGUCUUCAUUAGUGAUGAUGAUGGAAGAUGGAUUUUAUUCCAGUUGUAAAACUUCUUAAUACAUUUUCCUCCAUUUGUGUUUUGGGGUCAAAAAUCAGUGAGACCAAAAGUCAGACAAAUGAGUGAAAAGGAGUGCGGAGUUGUGAUCAGCCACACUCGGCAGAACCCUGUAUUCUUCUGCAUCAUUUACACAUAACAAACUGUGCAGGUGGAAAUUCAUUUGCGGUUGGGAAUCGCAAUUGCACAAUUUCGCAUGUUUCCUCUGGGUUUGUCAGGAUUGACAAGUCGAGGAGGGUGGGUAUUUGGCACAGGUGUUAGGACACUGCUUGAGGCAUCUUCGUCCCAUCUUGGAGUACCUGGGUUCCAGUCCUGACUCCACCUCCAAUUCUAACUUCCUCCUGACGCACAUCCUGGGAGGCAGAGGGUGAUGGGUUGAGUAUUAGAGUCCCUGCCACCCAUGUGGGGGACCCGGAUUGAGUUACGAGCUCCUAUCUUCAACCUGGCCCAGUCCAGGCUGUUAUGGGUAUCUGGGGGUGUAACCAGGGAUGAGAGCUCUCUCUCAUAUAAAUAUUUUUAAAUAUUUAUUUAUUUGAAAGCAAGAGUUACACACAGAGAGGAGAGGCAGAGAGAGAGAGAGAGGUCUUCUAUCCGAUGGUUCACUCCCCAGAUGGCCACAACAGACGGAGCUGCGCCGAUCUGAAGCCAGGAGCCAGGAGCUUCUUCCAGGUCUCCCACACGGGUGCAGGGGCCCAAGCACUUGGGCCAUCUUCCACUGUUUUCCCAGGCCAUAGCAGAGAGCUGGAUGGGAAGAGGAGCAGCUGGGACUUGAACUGGCGCCCAUAUGGGAUGCGGCACUGCAGGUGGUGGCUUUAUCUGCUACGCCACAGCGCCGGCCCCUCCUGUUCUUCUUGAAAGUGUAACAGACCACAUUCCAGUUUCUACUUCCCAAGGCAAGCCCAAGUGGAAGCACUUGCAGAUUUUAAGUUACGAUGGCUUUUGUACAGAAAAGCCACAAUUUGGGUUUGUUGUCAGGAAGGGAUCCCAAACACGGCCAGCUCCAACAUCCACUCCCGGUCCUGGCCUUGAUGCUGCUGGCGGAGAUGCGGUCUCUGCCUGGGUAGAGAGAGAGGAGGUCACAGUGUGGCGGAAACAUGACAGAGCCGAGUCCGCUGGUCAGGACUGCUGUCCUGAGCUGUGGGACCCUGGAGAGUCCCUGUUCCGUUCUGGUCCCCCGGGGGAUUUGGAUAUAGCGCGCUCAUUCCCUUGUCCACACAGCAGGUGUGUUUUCGAGCUGUUGCUAUGUGCCAGCGACUUCUCCCGGGUACCAGACCCUAACUGCAGGGACAGUGAUGCCCAGCGUCUACCUGGAAGCCAGACCCGUGACUGACAAAGCUGCAGGUGUUUGAUGCAAUGGUUAAGAUGCUGCUCGGAUGUCCACGCCCCACAUUAGAGGACCAGGGCUCCAGAUCCAGGUGUCCUGAUUCCAGCUUCCUGCUGGCCCCACCCCGAACCGGAUGGGGCAAAGCGAGGGGACAGGAACCAGAAUUUAGCGAAAGCCCUAGAAACAGCUUCAGCUGUCAAGGGCCUCCGGAAAGGAGCCGUGCGAACAUAGACAGGCAGGGAGCCAGUGAUGAGCGUUGUUUUCCACCCUCCAUCUACUCCCACAUUCCUCUUUGACCGAACACACCUGGGAGGCCGAGAAUAAGGAAUCUGCUGAUACACUCCUUGAAGACCAGCGUUGUGGGACACAGAGGCAAGUGCCGAGCAGGCGGUGGAUCCAGGGCACCACAGAGAACAUCUAGCUCUCUGCUGGUCUUAGCUUUCCUCCCAUCCUCCCAAUACUUGCUAGUCACCUCAUGGUCUCAACAGGGCUGCUGAACUCUAGGCAUCAAGCACAUGUUCCAGCCAACAGGAAGGGAAGGCGAGGAGGCAGAAGCUGCCAGCUGACUUUCUCACACACAGCGUGGUCACGGCUCUUUCUCUUAGGGCUGUCACACGGGAGUCAUCAAUUCUGAGGGACAUUUUCUAGCACCAGACCAACCAUCGAGGGUGUAAGAAUUAGAACACUCAGGUAAAGCUGCCGCCUGCAGUGCCAGCAUCCCAUAUGGGCACCGGUUCCAGUCCUGGCUGCUCCACUUCCCAUCCAGCUCCCUGCUAAUGUGCUUGGGAAAGCAGUAGAACAUGGCCCAGGGCGUUGGGCCCCUGCACCCA